rnacentral:lncRNA from 1 species
CACCCUCCCAGCACCUAUUGUGAGGUUAGAACUGAUUUCUGUGAUUCACCAACCCGUUUAUCAAUUCGUCCCUCCCAGCAGUCCCAACGUGUUCAGAGCUGUCUUGAAGACAUGCUUUCACGCGAAAGGUGUUUGUAGACGGUAAGACAGCCUUUCCACCACGCACUGCGGCUCACUGAAAUGCGAGAAGCAUGCAGGAGGUCCCCGGUGCUCAGAUACCAAGGAAGAGCAUUGUGACAGACUCAGCCGCUCUCUGAUAUUGAUGCUGAUAUCAGAGACAGAAAAUAACUUGUACAGCAUUUUGAGUUAGGAUAUCUAUGCAGCUUUCUAGGAGCAAGAGAUGACUUUUGGAGAAGAUACACAGUAUCAAUGCUACUUCACUGAUGAUUAGUCUAAAACUUCAGCGUUUGUCUCACCCUUGAUCCCCUCAACAUACAAAACCAUCCUGCCAGAAUCUGAUGAUUUGAGUUGAGGCUAGCUUAAAGGGAAAAAGAAAAAAAAAAUCCUUUUUGUUUGUUUGAGUGUGAAUAAACUGACUUCCAGCA